CGGGCGGGAGGCACCGCGGCGAGGCGUAAACAAGCUGGCGGCGGCUGGGUGUGGUUGGAGCGCCUUCCCGCUUGCCGCUGGAGUUGUUUCUGCCCUUCGCGCGCCUGGCGCCCCCUCGAGUGUCCCUGUGGGCGGCUACAGAGCGGCGAUCCUGUUUCCCGAGGAGCCCGCGUGGGUGAAGGGCCUGCUUGGGAGCCUUAGGGGAGUUGCAGCUCACCAGGGAAGGGGCGGAAAGCCGGGGGUCAGGGCAGCCUCCUUCCUGGGCUGAGCGUUUGCAGAAGCCCGCCUCCGGGAUUGCGGGGGACCCCCCUGGCUUCUGCCUUCAAGUAGCUCACACUUCACACCUAGUCAUGACGUCUAGAGAAAACCAGCCCUAGUAGGAGGCAGCUUUCAAAUCUGAACCCCUUGUGGCGUUCCCUGCCGAAACAAAGCUUGAAGCCGUCUAAGCUUCAGUUUCUUGACAUGGGCGCAAUGACAUUUGUGACGUGAGGAAUCAAAGAGAUGAAGUAUAGACAGCGUUGAGCCCAGAGCCCUGCGCCUAGGAGAUGCUCUCUCGCUAGGUAGGUGGCCUUUGUCGCGAGGCUGGAUGUGAUGAGCUCCAGCACGAACAGGAAGCGCUGUGAGAGGAGGCACAGUGCCAUGAAGUCGAACUAUGGGAUCUGAAAGGCAUUUUGAAGGAGUGGGCAUCAGGCUGGGUUUUAAAGGAAAGGGUCAUUAAACUGGGAUGAGGAAGCUGUGGCCUCUCCCUUCCUCUGGCCGACAGCAAGCUAUGUGACAAGUUGGGUUAAAGAGUGAAAGAGACAGAGACAGAGAUGGAAAGAGAAAUUCAUGCUCCUAUCUCUUUAUUUCCGGAGUCCCUGAAGCCAGCUUUGCCCUGGCCUUCCAAGUUCCGUGAAGCAAUAACUAUUUUGGCCAGUGCUAGUUUCACUGGAUUUCUGUUCCUCAUAAACAAAAGGCCUGGAUGUAGUGGGAUUCAGAGACCUUUGGAAGGACACCACCAGUCAAAAUACUGUUCAUCCACUUGAA